rnacentral:misc_RNA from 1 species
UGGACUGGCCUUAAGAGC